AACGUUGGCGGCGUGCCUAACACAUGCAAGUCGAACGCGAAAGUCCCGCAAGGGAUAAGUAGAGUGGCAAACGGGUGAGUAACGCGUGGGUGACCUGCCUUCGAGCGGGGGAUAACGUUUCGAAAGGAACGCUAAUACCGCAUAACAUCCUGCCUUUUAAGAGGCGGUGAUCAAAGCCGGGGAUCGCAAGACCUGGCACUCGAAGAGGGGCCCGCGUCCGAUUAGCUAGUUGGUGGGGUAAUGGCCCACCAAGGCAACGAUCGGUAGCCGGCCUGAGAGGGCGGACGGCCACACUGGGACUGAGACACGGCCCAGACUCCUACGGGAGGCAGCAGUGGGGAAUUGUUCGCAAUGGGCGCAAGCCUGACGACGCAACGCCGCGUGGAGGAUGAAGAUCUUCGGGUCGUAAACUCCUUUCGAUCGAGACGUAUGGCCCUGGGGUGAACAGCCUCGGGGAAUGACGGUA
rnacentral:rRNA from 1 species